AAGCAAAAAAGAAAGAGAAGGAAUGGGCAAAAAGGAAGAACGAAAAGACAAAGAGAAACCUCUCCUAUUUUAUUUGAUCACCCCUCACCGUUUUCCCCUUCCUUCUACGCUGUUCUCUGUC
rnacentral:ribozyme from 14 species